rnacentral:tRNA from 1 species
UAGCUCAGUUGGUAGAGUAUUGCCUUACAUGCAGAAGGCCCUGGGUUCAAUCCCCAG